CAAGUCGAACGAUGAAGUUCCUUCGGGAAUGGAUUAGUGGCGAACGGGUGAGGAACACGUGAGAAACCUGCCUUUCAUUCUGGGAUAACACCGGGAAACCGGUGCUAAUACCGGAUACUCCAUCUUGGCGGCAUCGCCGAGCUGGGAAAAAUUUUGAUGAAAGAUGGUCUCGCGGCCUAUCAGCUAGUUGGUGAGGUAAAGGCUCACCAAGGCGACGACGGGUAGCCGGCCUGAGAGGGCGACCAGCCACACUGGAACUGAGACACGGUCCAGACUCC
rnacentral:rRNA from 1 species